rnacentral:misc_RNA from 1 species
GUGAAUCAUCAAAUCUUUGAACGCAAAUUGCGCUUCCUGGCAUCAGGGGAAGUAUGCCUGUGUGAGGGUCAAUAUUAAUAUAAAUCGGUUUAGUGACAAGUUGUGACGUUUCCGGUGUUUGGGCUAUCUUUACAUUUUUGGUUAUGAGGCUUAAAAUUGACGUUUUUUGCGCUUUUUGAAACGUACAUAAAUUUUUUUUUUUCCUCUAUUCUUAAUGCCAAAAUCUUAUUAGAUGCGAUUACAUCGUAGGGCUUCGUGUCCAAAAA